UUAUGCGGAAAUGAAAUUGAAUGUUACUUCGAACACGUUCUUCUACAAAAUAACUGACCUGUAUUUAGUGCUAUUGCUUAAACAUCAAUCGAAGCAAAAAUGGCAUCAAUGUAUGCGUCUAAAAAUGUUAAAUUUAGAUGGAGACAAUCCAGAAAUGAGCUGCCAGGAAGUGAUCGAUUUCGGACACGAAGAUUGAGAAGUGCCUGGAUACAAGGCUAGUAUUGUUAACAUCAUCUGAUACAAUCAACUGGAACAAAGCUGAAAUGGCUGCCUGACCUGACUUAAAAAUUGGAUGGCAGUACAUCAGACUAGAAGAUUACAAGUAUUGAGGUGGACAAAAUGAAACCUGAGCCUACCAAAGCUGACAGAUUGCACAAGAAACACAUAAAUGCAGAUUGGAAGAUUCAUUCUCUGGAAAGUAGAAAAGGGCAUGUUACAUACUGUUAUCACUGCCAUGACAGAAACCAUAUUGAGGAGCUGGUCCACCUGUAGGAAGAAUUGCGCUAUUGGUUGGAGCAGCACUAUUACCCAGCCAUACACCAGCACUAAGUUUGUCAUAGGGAGCAUUUCUGAGCAGUUAUGGAGACCACUAACUAUGCAGAUUGCUUGACACUUCAUUUUGGACAGACCUCAUCCAUUAAUCCAUUAUCAUGUAGUACAGUGUGAUGACUAUCAUCAGACAUGUCUCAUUCCAUCAUCCUCAUUUGGACAGAUCCCAUGGACACAGACUUAGAUACUUCAUCAGUGUGUCUACAUAAUUGUACAACAAACUCUUAGGAUUACAAUAAAAAUAGUUACAGAACAUUAUAAUAAUAAAUUUGGUAUUUAUAAUGAACAUCCAAAAGAAGUUUCCUGUUAAUAAAGUCUAAUGCAUUGCAUCAUUUUUGUUUAUUGGCUUUGUUUGAGUAACAUUUUUAGAAACCUACUCACAAUGUUCCUGGGCAAUCUCAGUCAUCCUGAGUUGUUUACCAGUUCUAUAAAGUUCCCAUACUCCUAUCAGUAACUGAGAACGCAAUUUUCUCAAAAUGUUCAUCUAUUUCAGGGUCAAUUGCGACAUUUUCAGUUAAAGCGGAAAAGACAUCAAACCAGGACUCGUUUGUGCUGAAUUUUCUAAUGGAGUUUCGAGCAUGGAAUAUGGUUUCAGGCCCCUUUUUCUCGAUAACUGUAACCGCAAAGGUUACACGCUCGUUCGUCGGCCAUUUUGUCGAUAAAAACAAAAGUCAACCGCAUGACGUAAUAUAAAUGAGCCGAAGGAAAAUAAUGAGCGGAAAGAAAAUAUAAUGAGCGGAAAGAUUAUUUUCCGUACGCUCGGAGAUGCGAAAAAUAAAAAUUCGUCCUGGAGGGCCUAAAAAAAAAGUUGAGUCGCGGUAAUUUCGUGAGUCGGUCGCGUUACAGCAAACAUUCAAUUUUUUAAGGAUGGCCUAGUGUCCAGCAAUGAAGACCCAACUCAAGAUCUGACCUUGUAAGGCCAAUAUGAAAUAUCUGUGUGGGAAAAUGGGAAAAACCUGCAGUCAGGAAUGCACGGAAAUCAUCAAAAGAACAGUGUUAAAUUAAUCUUGAAUAACUUGACAUUUAUUUUGUUUGACAUAUUUAUUCAUGGUGCAGUGAAAACAUUCUUUUUUUCUCAUGGUUAUUUAAAUUUAGAAUUGAUAGGAGGGAACAUCACUAUGUAGUUUCAUGUUCAUAGUCAGAUCAAAACCCAUGUACAUGCCCAAAUGAGCAUUCGAAAAUAUCAAAAUGGUACUUGUUGUAUGUAGUGUAAGUUAAUUAACAUAAUAAACAAAAAUAUUUAAUCAA